UGCAAGUCGAACGAUGAUGCCCAGCUUGCUGGGCGGAUUAGUGGCGAACGGGUGAGUAAUACGUGAGUAACCUGCCCUUGACUCUGGGAUAAGCCUGGGAAACUGGGUCUAAUACUGGAUACUACCUCUUGCCGCAUGGUGGGUGGUGGAAAGGGUUUUACUGGUUUUGGAUGGGCUCACGGCCUAUCAGCUUGUUGGUGGGGUAAUGGCUCACCAAGGCGACGACGGGUAGCCGGCCUGAGAGGGUGACCGGCCACACUGGGACUGAGACACGGCCCAGACUCCUACGGGAGGCAGCAGUGGGGAAUAUUGCACAAUGGGCGGAAGCCUGAUGCAGCGACGCCGCGUGAGGGAUGACGGCCUUCGGGUUGUAAACCUCUUUCAGUAGGGAAGAAGCGAGAGUGACGGUACCUGCAGAAGAAGCGCCGGCUAACUACGUGCCAGCAGCCGCGGUAAUACGUAGGGCGCAAGCGUUGUCCGGAAUUAUUGGGCGUAAAGAGCUCGUAGGCGGUUUGUCGCGUCUGCUGUGAAAGCCCGGGGCUCAACCCCGGGUCUGCAGUGGGUACGGGCAGACUAGAGUGCAGUAGGGGAGACUGGAAUUCCUGGUGUAGCGGUGAAAUGCGCAGAUAUCAGGAGGAACACCGAUGGCGAAGGCAGGUCUCUGGGCUGUUACUGACGCUGAGGAGCGAAAGCAUGGGGAGCGAACAGGAUUAGAUACCCUGGUAGUCCAUGCCGUAAACGUUGGGCACUAGGUGUGGGGGACAUUCCACGUUUUCCGCGCCGUAGCUAACGCAUUAAGUGCCCCGCCUGGGGAGUACGGCCGCAAGGCUAAAACUCAAAGGAAUUGACGGGGGCCCGCACAAGCGGCGGAGCAUGCGGAUUAAUUCGAUGCAACGCGAAGAACCUUACCAAGGCUUGACAUUCACCGGACCGCCCCAGAAGAUGGGGUUUCCCUUCGGGGCUGGUGGACAGGUGGUGCAUGGUUGUCGUCAGCUCGUGUCGUGAGAUGUUGGGUUAAGUCCCGCAACGAGCGCAACCCUCGUUCUAUGUUGCCAGCACGUGAUGGUGGGGACUCAUAGGAGACUGCCGGGGUCAACUCGGAGGAAGGUGGGGAUGACGUCAAAUCAUCAUGCCCCUUAUGUCUUGGGCUUCACGCAUGCUACAAUGGCCGGUACAAAGGGUUGCGAUACUGUGAGGUGGAGCUAAUCCCAAAAAGCCGGUCUCAGUUCGGAUUGAGGUCUGCAACUCGACCUCAUGAAGUCGGAGUCGCUAGUAAUCGCAGAUCAGCAACGCUGCGGUGAAUACGUUCCCGGGCCUUGUACACACCGCCCGUCAAGUCACGAAAGUUGGUAACACCCGAAGCCGGUGGCCUAACCC
rnacentral:rRNA from 1 species